rnacentral:rRNA from 1 species
UCCUGGUGUCCACGGCACAGCGGAACCACACCAAUCCAUCCCGAACUUGGUGGUGAAACGCUGCAGCGGUCAAGAUACUUUGGGGGCAGCCCCACGGAAAAAUAGCUUGAUGCCAGGA